GGUGCAGCAGGCGCGAAACCUUUACACUGCACGCAAGUGCGAUAAGGGGACCCCAAGUGCGAGGGCAUAUAGUCCUCGCUUUUCUCGACUGUAAGGCGGUCGUGGAAUAAGAGCUGGGCAAGACCGGUGCCAGCCGCCGCGGUAAUACCGGCAGCUCAAGUGAUGACCGAUAUUAUUGGGCCUAAAGCGUCCGUAGCCGGCCAUGAAGGUUCAUCGGGAAAUCCGCCAGCUCAACUGGCGGGCGUCCGGUGAAAACCACAUGGCUUGGGACCGGAAGGCUCGAGGGGUACGUCCGGGGUAGGAGUGAAAUCCCGUAAUCCUGGACGGACCACCGAUGGCGAAAGCACCUCGAGAAGACGGAUCCGACGGUGAGGGACGAAAGCUAGGGUCUCGAACCGGAUUAGAUACCCGGGUAGUCCUAGCUGUAAACGAUGCUCGCUAGGUGUGACACAGGCUACGAGCCUGUGUUGUGCCG
rnacentral:rRNA from 1 species